rnacentral:rRNA from 1 species
UGGGGAAUAUUGCACAAUGGAGGGAACUCUGAUGCAGCAACGCCGCGUGCGGGAUGACGGUCUUCGGGUUGUAAACCGCUUUCAGCCAUGACGAAGCUUUUGUGACGGUAGUGGUAGAAGAAGCACCGGCUAACUACGUGCCAGCAGCCGCGGUGAUACGUAGGGUGCGAGCGUUGUCCGGAAUUAUUGGGCGUAAAGAGCUUGUAGGCGGUUUGUCGCGUCGAUAGUGUAAACACGCAGCUUAACUGUGUGCCUGCUGUCGAUACGGGCUGACUAGAGGAGGGUAGGGGAGAAUGGAAUUCCCGGUGGAGCGGUGGAAUGCGCAGAUAUCGGGAGGAAAACCAGUGGCGAAGGCGGUUCUCUGGACCUUUCCUGACGCUGAGAAGCGAAAGCGUGGGUAGCAAACAGG